CCCACCCAAGGCUGCCUCCUGGACCCAGCAGGCGGAGAAGGGACCUCUGCUGCAUGUGUUUCAAUGAUCACAGGAUCUUCUCCUUCCCAGAGGCUAGUGAAGCUUAGAAAGAAAGAAAAAACGCACUCGCGAUGAAAUGUUCUCUGAGCUCAUGCUGUCCUCCCACACUGACAGAGCACAGACGAAUGCGUGGAGGCAAAUAAUAUCAGAGUGCAGGAAAGCACAAAAUGACCGGGAGGAGAGGUGGCGGGCUGAAGAGAGUAAGUGGAGGGCUGAAGAGAGUAAGUGGCGGGCUGAAGACAGGGCUGAAGCUCAAAUGUGGCGGCAGCGUGAUGAGAGGAGGCAGGAUUCAAUGUUGAGGCUGCUGCAGGACCAAACCAGUAUGCUCCAGUGUAUGGUUGAGCUGCAGCAAAGGCAGCUGGAGCAUAGACUGCCACUGCAGCCCCUCUGUAACCAACCGCCCUCCUCCCCAAGUUCCAUAGCCUCCACACCCAGACACCCAAGAACGCGGUGGGGGGGCCUCCGGCCAACCAGCCACUCCACCACAGAGGAUUGCCCAAAAAAAAGAAGGCUGUCAUUCAAUAAAUUUUAAAGUUGUAAACUUUUAAAGUGCUGUGCUUAAAGUGCUGUGUGGCAUUUUCCUUCCCUCCUCCACCACCCCUCCUUGGCUACCUUGGUAGUCAUCCCCCUAUUUGUGUGAUGAAUGAAUAAAGAAUGCAUGAAUGUGAA